UUGACUUCUUCCAACCUUGGCCAAACAGAAUUGCCUUCUCGCAUUCGCUCCGGAAUUAGGAUUUCCAUCUUCUCUUAUGUUUACGUUUUGGUUCCGCAAUCAAGGCUUCCGUUUCAAUUCUACCACUUCUUCUAACUCCAUUCUUUCCGUUCCAGUGAUAAAUCGACCAAUUUGUGCUUAAAAAUUUGGAUGAUGAGAGAGGUUCAGGACGACUUCGACAUCACCACUAGGUAACGUUUGUCUGAUCCUCUGUCUCCACUGGCUUUGCGUUGUAUUCAUUCCUAAUUUGCAGGUUUUGGAGCAUCAUGUACGGUUGACUUUGAGAGAAGCUUGGAAAUUUGGUGUAGCAGAAUACGAAUCCUCAGACUGCAAUGGGCAAGGGGCUAAAGAGACGUCCAACAAUUAGGUCAAUAGCGCUAUCAGCAGCAGCUUAAUGAAGGAUGACUUCAAGCAUCCAAAGCUCAGUCCGGAGCAUCAUAUUCGAACUGGCUGCGAUUUUGCGUUUGUUAUAUAUAGUUUAUGGGGAUAAUGCCAUCAAUGAUCCCUUAUUGAGAUUUAUCUUUAAAUUGUAAGUGGAGUCUAUUCUUUUUUUAACUAAUCAUGUCAUGCUCAUGCAUGUUGAAAAUGUCAAGAUUUAGAUCCCGAUUUCUUUUAUCUUCUGUGGUAGAACUUAUCUUUUAGUUCCUUCUUACUUUCCAUAGUGUUUUGAUAUGUUUAUAUUCGAAGUUGAAACCUGGGAAAAUAGAAAUAUGAGUUAAUAUUUUACUUUCUAUGCAUUGGAACAUAUAUGUCAUGUUUCCUGGGAUUGUUUUUCUUUCCACAGGCUGCUUCUUUGUUGCUUCACAACUUUUGCAUAUAUCAUAUUAGUCUUUUUGGACAUGAUCAGUCAAUUUGAAUUUAUUUUUUUUUAUUGUAAUUAGAACAUAUUAUUCUUAUUUACACAGUUUCUUGAUUUCUUCUCAACCCUGAGAGUUUUGAUUCAUGUAGAUGUUUAGAUAAUGCAUGCUGCUUAUAAUAUCUAUAUUUCAUUCCUUAUUCUAAUUGUUUCCCUUUCAUUAAAAUUGUAUUUGUGAAGCCCCUUUUUCUGACAAAAUCAGAUUGGCAUGGAUCCAUGCUUGCUUGAGAUUGCUUUUCUUGAUGAGAAUGUCAGUUAUCCAAGAUUUUUUAUUUUUGGGAUUUGGACAAAUAUGCGGUAGUCUAUUAUGGUUAUACUGCAUAAGUAAUUGAGAUUUUAUAAUGAUUUUUUUGCUUCAGAGGAAAAAGAUUCAGGCUCAGUCAGAAAUUCAUUGAAAUUUUUUUGUUUGUUAAAAGAGCUAAUUGAAGGUCUGUAUUUGGACAAUUAGUCUACCCCUGAGGUGGGCUAUGAAUUUGUGAUUUUUUCCUUCUUUGCUCUAAUUGAAAGCACUCCAUGCUAUAUCACAAGGCAAGCCGCUCCCCUUUUUUUCUUUUCAAAUUCUCUCAAUUUUGGUGUUUGUUGAAUGGACAUUCUUCUUCUCGCUAUUAAGUUUUUCUUUCUUUAUAAUGCUUUUAUUUGCAGGUAAGUUGACCUAGCACUGACAAAAUCCAUUUUGUUGAGUCCUCAUUAUCAGCCAUACUUUAUGCCACUAGAGGUUUUUCAGUUCUUUGUACUUGAGGUUGCAGAUCAAAGCUGAAAAUAAGCUUCUGAAUGAUUUGUUGAUGGUUACAGCUGAAGUUUUUGUACAUAUCAUGUUCGAACCGUGAGAGUGGAGUAAAGGAUAAAUGCGAUGUUAACAGGCUAAAGAAGACAAAGGUGGAAAGAAAUCCUGAUUUGAAAGGAUUAGUAUGGCUGAAUUAACGCAAGGAACUAUUCAAAAAACUAGAAGACUGUGAAGGUAUGCAACCCAUUUCCCUUUCUUUUCAAGUACCCCAUUAUCUUCACAUACACAUAUGCGCUGGCAGGUGAUUUUUUUACCCUAUUGAACCAAUUUCGCAUUUUACGGUUCAUUUUGCUCAAAGCUUAAUUAUUUAAAAUCUAAAAUAGCAAACUCUUAUUGCAUGAAAGAUGAAUUUCUAAUGUUUCUUCAUAUAUAUAUAAUAUGUUAGACAGAGAUAAGGAGUGUAUGAGAAGAACCAACUAAGGCUUUCAAAUGUUCCAAACCAAAUAUAAAUCCUGCGUGGUAUCUCAAAAGUGUAGGCAAUAGUCAAUCAAAUCUCAAAAUUAAAUGGUGGAUCAUUGCAAAGAUGAGCUAGAUAACCUUCUAAAGGAAGAGCCUUGCUCAAUACAUAAUGGUCUUUUGCCAGUGCAUGCCUCUCAAUGUUGAAGAGUUAUAUAAAAGCAUGAGCCACUGUGGCCUUAGAUUUUGGUUCUUUCCUUCUUUGGUCUACAUAAUCUAUGAAUCAUUGAUACAUGUGUUUCCUUCAUGUAUUCAUAUUCAUAUAGGAUACAAGUUCUCUUCAGGGAUGUUAACUAGAUCCUUACGAUACAUGUAUUCAUAUCUUCUUCAUGUUAAUUAGUUCUGAGCUAUACUAUAUAAUUAAAUGUAGCCUUAAAAAGAUUCCUAUAGGUUUCCUGGAGCAAAUUACGAACAAAAGACCUCUUAUGGUAGCAACAACGAUGUCACUACCCAAUUACUGUCCUGAAAGCUCAUGUGGCCAGUGUAAGUUCGAGGCUCAUAAAUACAUAUAUCUUCAAGAAUUAAGAAAGUCAGCUUUGUUUCUCUUCUUCCGUUAAAAAUAGUUCUGAUAUUUAAUCAUUUUUCAGCUUCUGUUUUGAGCACUAUUAAAUCACUUAAACGGAAGUUACUGUUAGUAAUAAAGUCACUUUUAAUUAAAGGUUUGACAGUUACAGAAACGAAUGGUCAUGAAUUAUUAUGCAUUAAGUGCGUUUAAGGGUCAUCAUUAUUUGUUAGCUAACCACUAAGCAUUAGCUUUAUGUCUAUUUAGUAUUUUUAAUUGAGGAGUAUCAUGUCAUGUAGCAUAUCCAAAUCUACCUUCUCAUGUAGCAUGUGCAAAUUGAGGAAAUGAUAAAGUUUCUUUCUGGAUUAAAUGAUGAUUCAUAAGGGAACAUGAAGAACAUUUUUGUCUAUGUGGUUGUUGGCCUAAUGUUCCACUUUAUUUAGCACCAAUUAGUUUGGAUGGGCUACUAAAAAUGUUGACAGAAGAAUGAGACUUGAAACACUUCUCACCCCAGGUUGGAAGUAGAAGAAAGCGUUUAUGGUUUUGAUAACUAAAAUAUGUUCUGUGAGCUAUUCACCAAAAGAACUCUGCCAUGUAAUUUGCAUCCUCUUACAAUACGACCAUUAGACCCCUUUAUGACUAAACAAACAUGUUACUGAGGAUAAGUCUUAUCACAACUUUCUAUAUAAAAACUUGAGCCAAUUUUUUUAUAAUUUGAUUGUGAAAGUACCUCAUUUGAUAGAUAACCGUUUUAGUUUUCAAGCUAAAGAAGUCUAACAGGUUCUAAUAUUAUAAUAUUAGAAGUAAGGUUGUUGAUUCUAUUAAAAUAUAACUCUUUUCAAGCUGUGAUUACCAUUUUUUCUUGGUAACCUAAAGUUACUAAUUGGCCUUUAGAUGGCGUAGCUAUGGAUGUUGUACUUUGUGAAAGCUUGAGGCAUGCUAAUGGCCAUCUAAUAAUGAUUCUGGAAUGGCUUAUCAUUCUACUGGAUUUUCUGGAAAUAUAAAUAGCAAUUCAAAUCUGCCUUCUAUUGAUGAUAGCUUUGAUAAGCAUCAACGAUUAUCAUUUUUGUGUCAUUUUUGCUGCUUAUCCAAUUUUUGUUGUCAUCGUUCUUUUAAGAAUUAUACUGAAUCAUGUGAAGAUUUGGAUUGCCUUUGGAAUGAACAUCUGCAAGCUUCCCAAAUGAAUCUGUAGAUACUCCUCAUUUUUCAAGGAGCUGCGAACUCGAGUACUGCUAUGUGUUCACCUGUUCUUCCUGCUCUAAGCCUGAUGUAGCAGAUCGGAGAGACUUGCGGGUCAUGCGAUUUAAUUCAAAACAUGCUUUGCACUAAAAGUUUUUUGAUACAUGGAUAUUUUUUUUUUUGAACAUUGAUACUUGGAUAUUAUAUAUUAGAAAUGUUUUACUUUUUUAAA